UGCAAGUCGAACGGCAGCACGGGUGCUUGCACCUGGUGGCGAGUGGCGAACGGGUGAGUAAUGCAUCGGAACGUACCCUGGAGUGGGGGAUAACUAUCCGAAAGGAUAGCUAAUACCGCAUAUUCUAUGGGUAGGAAAGCGGGGGAUCUUCGGACCUCGCGCUCUGGGAGCGGCCGAUGUCAGAUUAGCUAGUUGGUGGGGUAAAGGCCUACCAAGGCUAUGAUCUGUAGCGGGUCUGAGAGGAUGAUCCGCCACACUGGGACUGAGACACGGCCCAGACUCCUACGGGAGGCAGCAGUGGGGAAUUUUGGACAAUGGGGGCAACCCUGAUCCAGCCAUGCCGCGUGAGUGAAGAAGGCCUUCGGGUUGUAAAGCUCUUUCGGCCGGGAAGAAAUCGCCAUCUCUAAUAUAGGUGGUGGAUGACGGUACCGGAAUAAGAAGCACCGGCUAACUACGUGCCAGCAGCCGCGGUAAUACGUAGGGUGCGAGCGUUAAUCGGAAUUACUGGGCGUAAAGCGUGCGCAGGCGGUUUUUUAAGAUAGGCGUGAAAUCCCCGGGCUUAACCUGGGAACUGCGCUUAUGACUGGAAGACUAGAGUACGGCAGAGGGGGGUGGAAUUCCACGUGUAGCAGUGAAAUGCGUAGAGAUGUGGAGGAACACCGAUGGCGAAGGCAGCCCCCUGGGCCGAUACUGACGCUCAUGCACG
rnacentral:rRNA from 1 species